AAAUCUUUAGUAUAAAAAAUAUAUUUAUUUUGAAAAUAAAAGAUUCUUAGGUAGGAUUUA
rnacentral:tRNA from 1 species